CAGGUGCCAUUUAGGAUAACUGCAACAGGAUGGGUCCAAGAAUUCAACAAUACUGCCAGAAUUGUGAAGAAGAUAAAGCUCACAUGCACACCAUGCAAGAUAUUUAAGAAGACUACACUAAUCAAGGGAAUGUUCACAUCCGAUUUAGAGGUUGCUAGGUUUGAAGGUGCUGCCAUUCGGACUAUAAGUGGAAUCCGAGGACAUGUUAAAAAGGCAGCAAAGAUUGAGCCAGGAGAUAUGUUGAAGAGAAAAGGGGAAAAUACAGAAGGAAUCGCAAGAUGUACAUUUGAGGACAGAAUUCUUAUGAGUGACAUUGUUUUCCUGCGUGCCUAGGUCAACGUUGAAGUUCCUACGUACUCUAACCCUGUGACCACUGCUCUGCAACCUAGAGAGCAGACCUGGCAAGGCAUGAGAACAACUGCUGAGUUGCGGAAGGCACACAAUAUCCCUACCCCACACAACAAGGAUUCAGUUUACAAGCCUAUCGAGCGGAAACCACGCAAGUUCAAUCCCGUCGAGAUCCCCGCAAAGCUGCAACAGUUACUUCCUUUUAAAUCUAAGCCUAAGGACACAACGAAGCAGAAGAAAGCACCAGUUGAAAACAGGGUGCCUGUAAUCAUGCA